GACGAACGCUGGCGGCGUGCUUAACACAUGCAAGUCGAACGAAGAGCGAUGGAAGCUUGCUUCUAUCAAUCUUAGUGGCGAACGGGUGAGUAACGCGUAAUCAACCUGCCCUUCAGAGGGGGACAACAGUUGGAAACGACUGCUAAUACCGCAUACGAUCUAAUCUCGGCAUCGAGGAUAGAUGAAAGGUGGCCUCUACAUGUAAGCUAUCACUGAAGGAGGGGAUUGCGUCUGAUUAGCUAGUUGGAGGGGUAACGGCCCACCAAGGCGAUGAUCAGUAGCCGGUCUGAGAGGAUGAACGGCCACAUUGGGACUGAGACACGGCCCAGACUCCUACGGGAGGCAGCAGUGGGGAAUCUUCCGCAAUGGACGAAAGUCUGACGGAGCAACGCCGCGUGAGUGAUGACGGCCUUCGGGUUGUAAAGCUCUGUUAAUCGGGACGAAAGGCCUUCUUGCGAAUAGGGAGAAGGAUUGACGGUACCGGAAUAGAAAGCCACGGCUAACUACGUG
rnacentral:rRNA from 1 species